UUUUCUGAUGAACAAUUUGAACGUUUAUAUACGCUGGAAAUUACCGACCAAGCUCUCUUCUGGAGGCGGUGCCGAUAUCAAAUGGCUAUUUCUGAGU
rnacentral:snoRNA from 1 species